UGAGCGCCCUGCAGGUGCUGGAGGCUGCUGGGGCUGCAGCUGGCACCUGCAACGAUGGCAGGGCUGCUGGGGAAGGGAGCUGGGCCACGGGGAGCCCUGGGUGAGCGUGUGGCAGGACGUGAUGCUGAGCAAUUAGCCACCGAAUUAGCAAUUAACCACAGAAUUAACAAUUAGCCACUGAAUCGAGAAGCUGCUGCAGAGCAGAAGGAGCAGGACAACUCCCAUUUUUUGAGAAGUUUUGGCUGGGAUUAGAGCUGCUUGCAAGAAGAAUUUUUGCAUUCCCAGAGGGGAGGAAGGCCAAUUGUCAACUGCAAGAUUAGCAAUGCAGUCAGCUGGUGUUUUAAAUAACAGGAGAGAUUCUGGAACGUGAAAACAAAUUAAUCCUUGCCAUGGAUGAGAAAGCGUUACCUGAAAUUUUUGUUGUGUAUUUAGAGCUUAGCAACAGAUGCUGCACCUGGAAAAAAGGGAAUUUACAGAGAGGGUGGGAAGCAAAUCCUGAAGUGGGUUUGUCCUCUGUUGUCCAAGGAAGAGGAAUUCUGCAUUUCCUGACAGCAGAAGGCACAAAGGUGAUGCUCAGAGGUGUUUGAUCACCACCUGUGAGUGCAGAGAUUUCAUCUCUGUGAAAUCUGUCUCCUCUCUUCCUGUGCUGCAGGCAGCUCCAAAACAUCUCUGCUCUUUUAUUUUGCGCUUUCUAAAUAAUACCUAAGAAGGAGAUAGCUGAUAAGGAGGUAAUUUUAUGUUUUGCUUUAAGUGUGCAUCAUUUUCCCUUUCUGUUGUGACAUUGAUUUAUGUAUUAUGCCAGAAAUAGAAAAUGUGUAUGGAAAGAGCAGCAGCAUCCCACACAGAACCACUCAAUUCAGCCUGGAAAGUCACUCACAGGAUUUAAAAUCACAUCACAGGGCUUUUUGCUCUUAGACUUCACCUUUCAUUACAAAAUAAGUUUCUAUUUUUUCCACUGUCCUGCCACCUUCAGUUGAUCCAAUUCUCCCUGCUCUGUAAUACAGUCAUUAAAUAUUGACUCUAAUCCUUGAU